rnacentral:rRNA from 1 species
GUGGUAUACGAUGGAUCCGCGUCUGAUUAGCUUGUUGGCGGGGUAAAGGCCCACCAAGGCGACGAUCAGUAGCCGGCCUGAGAGGGUGAACGGCCACAUUGGGACUGAGACACGGCCCAAACUCCUACGGGAGGCAGCAGUGGGGAAUAUUGCACAAUGGGGGAAACCCUGAUGCAGCGACGCCGCGUGAGUGAAGAAGUAUUUCGGUACGUAAAGCUCUAUCAGCAGGGAAGAAAAUGACGGUACCUGACUAAGAAGCCCCGGCUAACUACGUGCCAGCAGCCGCGGUAAUACGUAGGGGGCAAGCGUUAUCCGGAUUUACUGGGUGUAAAGGGAGCGUAGACGGCAGCGCAAGUCUGGAGUGAAAUCCCAUGGCUUAACCAUGGAACUGCUUUGGAAACUGUGCAGCUAGAGUGCAGGAGAGGUAAGCGGAAUUCCUAGUGUAGCGGUGAAAUGCGUAGAUAUUAGGAGGAACACCAGUGGCGAAGGCGGCUUACUGGACUGUAACUGACGUUGAGGCUCGAAAGCGUGGGGAGCAAACAGGAUUAGAUACCCUGGUAGUCCACGCUGUAAACGAUGAUUACUAGGUGUUGGGGGACCAAGGUCCUUCG